rnacentral:lncRNA from 1 species
UAGCUGUAAAAACCACGGGAGGUAAGAUCAAGUUUAUUUCUGAUGUUCUGUAUGUUCCGGGCCUUACACAAAAUUUAUUUAGUGUGGGACAAUCGUUGCAAAAAGGAUAUAGAGUAAAUUUUAUCAAAGAUGAACGUAUAAUUAUUGAAGAAAAGAGCAAUCAAGUAGUGACCAAAAUUAAAAUGUCUCCAAAUAAAGUUUUUCCACUUAAC